CCUACGGGAGGCAGCAGUGGGGAAUAUUGCGCAAUGGGCGAAAGCCUGACGCAGCGACGCCGCGUGAGGGAUGAAGGUCUUCGGAUCGUAAACCUCUGUCAGCAGGGAAGAACGGUCACUGUGCUAAUCAGCAGUGAAUUGACGGUACCUGCAAAGGAAGCACCGGCUAACUCCGUGCCAGCAGCCGCGGUAAUACGGAGGGUGCGAGCGUUAAUCGGAAUUAUUGGGUUUAAAGGGUGCGUAGGCUGUGAGGUAAGUCAGCGGUGAAAUGCCCCCGCUCAACGGGGUGAAGUGCCAUUGAUACUGCCUUGCUGGAAUGCGGAUGCCGUGGGAGGAAUGUGUGGUGUAGCGGUGAAAUGCAUAGAUAUCACACAGAACACCGAUUGCGAAGGCAUCUCACGAAUCCGCGAUUGACGCUGAUGCACGAAGGCCAGGGGAGCGAAAGGGAUUAGAUACCCCGGUAGUC
rnacentral:rRNA from 1 species